rnacentral:lncRNA from 1 species
CCAUAAUUCACAGGCUGCAUGGACUCCCCCGAUGCCUGACCCCGAAUCUAAUAGGGCUACAUGUUCGUUUACUUAAAACAGGAUAUAAAACAAUGUGCAGUUUCAUCUUCCUUAUUUAUCUCUCCCAGAUCCAGUGAGAAGCAAAUUUGCACAUAAUGACAGAUCGCAGGCAUCUAGCCCCAAAUGGAGUGUCUGGUUGUGAUCCAUCAUCAUGACAUUUCAGCUUUAGCAAACAUGGCUGCUCGCAGGGGGACACAAUCCAUCACUUUUCUCUAUUUCCCAGUCCAAAUGGCAGUUCCAAGGAUAUUAAUGAAGACCCAAGAGUCAAACACAAGGACCGCGUUAAAGAUAUUCAUAAAAAAAUCCAGGAAGGUGAGAGAGGACCUGGAGGUCAAUGGACGAGAGCAACCAUAAUGCAAGGGGUGAAUGUAAAUUCAUAAAAAGAAUUUAAAACAGCACAACUAAACAAAACAAGACAUAUUAUAAAAUCCAGAGAUGGGUAAGGGAAGGGGAUUGCUUGCCAAAUUUUGGCACUGAAAUGUAUGCAAUCUUUUUUAAAAUUAUUUAAUGCCUUAGGGGUCUGUCUACUUUCACUGGAGGACUUUAAGAGGGACACUGUGUCCCCAGGGAGGAACUAGGCUUCAUCUGUGGUAAGGAAGCAGAAUGAUUGAUCUCUAGGUGAGUAUCGUUCAUAAUUCUGUGAUGCAAGCAUUUGCAGAGAGGCUGUGUGGAGCGUGCAUGAGAAUGUAAUUAAACAAAAGAG